rnacentral:tRNA from 1 species
GGGCGUGUAGCUCAGCUGGGAGAGCACCUGCUUUGCAAGCAGGGGGUCGCAGGUUCGAACCCUGUCACGUCCACCA